rnacentral:misc_RNA from 1 species
UCAAGCGCGAGGGUCGUUUUCGCGCCAACCAACAUCAAUCGCCCCUCAUGUUACCGUAAAAUAAACCUUAAAAAUAAAUUGUGAUAGUUUUCACAUCGUCGUGAUUUCGUGAUCGAUUUGUGUUUAUACGUUUUGACGGCAAAAUGAGAGCGAAUACAUAAUGCCAGUGAAGACAAAAAUAUAUGGACUGAUAUUAUUAAAAAGAAAUCGCGAUUGAUAACGAACGAAAUCCCUAUUGAAAAAGGGGCCUAAUGUGCUCAAAACAUUGAUAACAACGGUCUAAUAGUUAUUAACGUUAAAAUAACAGUUGCAGAAACAAUUGAACGUGAUGAGAACGCAUCUGUAAAUGUUAGAGAGGAACAGAGCUGCGUUCCAAAAAUAAAUCGUUCGAAAAUAGAGAAAAAAUGCGCAGCUCGGAGUCAGUGAGCGAGAGAGGGGCGGCGGGGAAGGACGCCGCUUCGUGGUGGGAGACACCAUGGAAAACUAUGGCUGACCUAGCCGAAGCAGUCGACGAUCUCAUAUGCAGUUUCGAUUAUAUGGACACAGCCAUGGACAACCUAGUGAUGUUGGUAUUCAUAUGGAUCCUGUUCUCGAUCGUCCUCCUCGGAAUAGCCAAAUGGGCGUACGGCCGCUUCGGGAAGAAGACAGCAGAUGUAGAAGCUAAGGCAGCAAAGGCGACCGAGGAGAAGAAACUGUCUCCCGCGAACGAAAUAGUUUCAAGCGCUGAUAGCGUGUUAGCGACCAGUGCUAAAGUUAAAAGUGGAACGUUUUUGUCUAAACCUCCAAAGCCUAGUGGUUAUGUGCCAGCGACACCACCAAACAAGCGACGUUUGGGCCGAAUGUCACCCGGCCCUGAGCAGUUGAAUUUAAAAAAACACACCAGCAUCGUGAUACCUACAUGCACUGGACCCGAUGCGCCGAGCGUGCAGUGGGUAAACGAUCUAUUGACGUGGUUAUAUAACGAUCUUGUUAUUGUUAAUGAACUCGUGCAGCGAUGGAUUGUGUCCAUGAACGAAUUCUCGAAGAAGUCCGUCGAGGAGCAAGGCAUUGGCGUCGAGCUGGUGCGUGCCUUGGACAGCCACCCGCCGAGUGUCACCAACGUCUUCUGCGAAUGUGAUUCCAAGGAUGAUGUGACGGUCACAUGUGACUGCGAGGCGACUCCAGCCUUCCAGCUGAAAGCCUUCAGUCAGCGAGGAGAGAAGGUGGAAGUCUCCCAUUACAGGGUUAAUGUGAACAGAUUCCGAGCCCGUCUCAACGUCGUAUGCAUUACGGACAAAUUGACAGGUGAGGUCAAAUGCGACGGUUGGCCUGAGGUCAAGGUGGCCUUGGCUCCUGUGGGACCUCUGAGGCCGAAUGCGACCGAGAGUAACCUCCAAGCUGCUGUCAGUGACAUAGUAGUUAUCGCGCUACGGAACACGCGUUUGGAGUUCAACCUCUCCCAGUACCCCACGUGUCCGAGGUUGAGGAGACAUUUCGAGACCCCAGGGCCCAGACUGCCCCUGCAUUAUGACUCUAUGCUACAAAAUGACAGACAGAUGUACACCUCUACUCCGAACUCAACGUCUAGCGGACACUUACUCGGCGAGAAACGAUUGUUGGUCAAAGUUGUCUGCGCUAAAGAUUUAGGAGGCAAAUCCGGCUGCAUAGCGCCAUAUUGCGUGGUGGAAAUGGACGAGCCGCCUCAGAAGAAUCAGACGGCCUUCAAAAAGGACACGACCAGUCCACAGUGGGAGGAGCACUUUUUAUUCGAUCUGUCCCCACAAACAGCCGAGCUUCUUUUCGAAGUGUACGACAGGACAGGACCUCCGUCUCCUGGCGGAGGAUCAGCUCAGCACCGAUUCCUGGGUCUAGGUCUGGUGGGCAUAGACGAGCUGCUGGCGGCUCCCUCCCAGCGCCAGCAGAUAGCGCUGCAGACGCGGCCCAUGGAGGAGCACGACGUCUCCGGCACCCUCACCGUGGAGUUCCUGUUCAUCGAGGGGGCUGACAUCCCGCAGCUGGGCUCCCGCCCCGUGAAGAUCAAGGAGAGUCUCCGCACGGUGUCGCCCCAGGGACUCCUCACCACAACCACCAAGACCACGUUCAAGCAAAACGGUCACGACAACAGCCAACUAACGGAGUCAGCGUUGAGAGAGUUAGAACUGAGUCCGGCUAGUGCCGCUAACAAGUCAACAUUGAUCAUACAUUCUGUGCAAAGGGAGCCCAAAAAAUCUAUCAAGGUCGAACUAACCGAUUCCGGCAAAUUUAUCGAAGUGGAACGCGAGGAGACACAGAAAACUGAGCCUAUAGCGACCACAGAUAAUGUAGAAAUCACCAAAGACAAACCAAAAACGUCGACGCCCAACGCGUCGCCGGCAAAAAGUGUGAGAAUAAAAGAAAAUGGCGCCAAAAUGAACGGUGACAAGGACGCGCAAGGCGACUACGUACAGAAAUCCGAAAACGCUCCCCCCGAGCCCGCGCCGCGGCAAAAGCGGAGAAGAGACUUCUUUGGCACCAUUAAAAGAAGGCUAGGUCGCUCCCGCACCCGCGGCCAAUCCCUUGAUCUGCCUGACUCCGACGUUGACAACCAGAGUCAUAUCAGAAGCGUCAGUGCCGAGAGAAAUAGUCAUGAUAAAGCGUUGUCCGUCCCCAACAGGAACGUGUACUCUGCCGGCGCGUCGCCCGCGCAGUCCGGCGACGAGUCUCGGACGUCCAGAAGGUCCUCCCUCAGUGAAGUAUCCGGAUUCAGUACAGCAUCAGCUCGGACCUUCAUUCACGAAGCGUCCACGCUGGUGCUGGAGACGAUAGAGGCGGGCAUCAAGAAGCAUUACCUGGUGCCGCUGACAGUGGCUCAGAGGUCAAAAUGGCGGCGGAAGGGCGUCAAACUGCACAUUUACAAUGAGCACACGUUCAUUGCUAAACAUCUGAGCGGCGGCACCGUGUGCUCCGUGUGCAACAAGACAAUCGCGCGACGACUCGGCAAGCAGGGCUACGAGUGCCGCGACUGCGCGCUGCGCUGCCACAAGCACUGCCACGUGGCCGUCGCCGGCGCCUGCGCACGCUCCAGCGUGCACAGCAUGGAGCUAUCCAUGCUCCCUGUGCUAAACGAAUAGUCAAGAUAAGCGAGAAGACUGCAAGAAAAAUAUAUAAAAAAUAAAAAUAAACAAUUUCCAGGUCAUACAUCUCAUCUCCGUAUACCGACAGAAAUAUAAGGAUGUUGUGAUCUUUCAAGAUAUAAUAACGCUUAAUCAUGCACAAAACCUUGCAAAAUUACUACUUAAAUAUAAAAAAUCGAUAUACAUAUAACAAAAUCUCUCUAAGUACAACAUUUAUGUACGCUACUAUACGGUACAUGUAAUAGGCUUUUUUACAAAUACAUGUAAUUAUACGUUACUAGAUUUAAGAAUAAAAAUAGAUAUUCUGAAACGCUGAAUAAUAAUAAUAAAAAACAAUAUAAAUAUAUCCGCUUCGACUGUAUUGGCAAAUGUUAGAGUUAGUAUAGAUAUCGCUAGAAGUCCAUAAAGCAUCCCAGGAAAUAUAACUUUUUGAAAUUUAGCUUGACGACGUCAAGUCUCUUUUUAUGGAGCAACAUUUGAUAAGAUUUCUUUUUCAUCAUUAGACUUUUAAAACAAAGAAUCUCAAUAAAAAAAAUAAAAAGUGAAAAGCAGUAGAUAUGUUUCUUAAUAAUGUAAUUUAUUUUUUUCAGUGGCAUGUAAAAGUUUAUAUGACUUAUAAAAAUAUUUUAAAUUACUGCUCGAUAAAAAUUUGCUUGAAUGGAAAAAUAAGGGAGGGAAAAUAUAAAAAUAUAUCUCAUGUCUCACGACCAAGUUAAGUUUUAAGCAUUGUACGUUUUUUGGCAUAUAUCACAAUCUACUCUGACUGUAACAAUAAAACUAAGAGGUUUCUUUUUAAUAAAGAUCUCUUCCUCAUUUAUUAAUUGUUACAAAUAUAUACAAACAAGUUGUAUAAAAUAAUUAGACACAGUUACCAGAAACUUUUACCGUUUUUUGUUACUUAAUAUACUUUAAAAUUAAUAAUGAUAUUAUUCGAUUAUUUAUUUUAGUUUAAGUGCAUUUGCACAAGUGAUUUUUAUGUUUAUGUGCAAUACUUUGACUAAAUACUUAAUGCUUGGAGCUUUGAUAUUAAAAGAAGAAAAAAUAUUAUUAAAAAUAAAACUUGCCCGUUUUUCAAUAUCCAGUUGGUAGAUUUUACAUCAAAUGUAGAAAUGACACUGAUAUGAAGUAAGUAUGAGUAAAAUUUACUUAGAAAUUUCAAUAUUUUGGGUGCUUAUUUGAAGCGGACUAUAGUUGAAAGGAUAUUCGUUACAAAGAGAGAUAUUUACCGCACAAAAACUGCAAAUAAAUUGUUUAACGUAUUUUGUACCGCUUCAUGUCAGUGAUAUUGUUUGUAUGCGAGUGAUUUUUUUAGAAUGGCUGCCAUUUAAAAAAAAUGAAUUGUUUGCUACAAAUAUUUUGUGAGAAAUUUAUUUAUUUACUAAAUACUUAUACAAUAAUAAAAAUAAUCUCUAGCAAGUUCUUAAAAACUAUUACAUUCUGUGUCUUAUUGUUUACUUUCCUUAAAAAACCGUUAUUACUAUUUUUUUGAAAAAAAAAAACAGUGCCAUUUGUUAAUUCAAAAUAUUGUUUUCCUAUUAUGAAAUAUUACUUCAUAUUAAAAUUUUAACAAAAUAUUUGUGGCUUAUCGUGUAAUUUUCACUUAAUAUUAAAAUAAUAGACAUGACAAAAACGUAUUUGUACUCUUCUACUAAGAUUGUUAACGCAUAAUUUUAUGUGGUUCCGUAAAUUAUUUAUAAAUGUUGCGCAAUGUGUUUUUUUGUCUGUAAUUUUAUUUUCCUCUUUUUUAAA